UGUCACUGCAAGUGAGGGGUUUCACUGCCAGGCAGAGCGUGGGCAUCAGGGAAAGGCUGGGGGUCAGGGAAAGUUUGGGGAUCAGGGAAGGGUUGGGGAUCAAGGGAAGGUUUGGGAUCAGGGAAAGGCUGGGGAUCAGGGAAGGGUUGGGGAUCAGGGAAGGGUUGGAGAUCAGGGAAGGGUUGGGGAUCAAGGAAAGGUUUGGGAUCAGGGAAAGGUUUGGGAUCAGGGAAGGGUUGGGGAUCAAGGAAAGGUUUGGGAUCAGGGAAAGGUUUGGGAUCAGGGAAGGGUUGGGGAUCAAGGAAAGGUUUGGGGUCAGGGAAAGGUUUGGGGUCAGGGAAGGGUUGGGGAUCAGGGAAAGGCUGGAUUUUGGUCCUCUUCCCCAGAGGGUGCUGGCACUGCCCAGGCUCCCCAGGGAAUGGGCACGGCCCCGAGGCUGCCAGAGCUCCAGGAGAGUUUGGACACCACUCCAGGGAUGCCCAGGGUGGGAUUUUGGCCUGGGGUUGGAUCAGUGAUGCCCGUGGGUCCCUUCCAGCUGAGGAUAUUCUGUGAUUUGGCAGGAUCACGGCGUGGUUUGGGUUGGAAGGGACCUUGGUGUCCAUGUCACCCCAACCCCUUCCACCCGCCCAGGCUGCUCCAAGGCUGCUGCGCUGUUCAAGGUGAGAAGCAGCAGAGCAGAGUUACUGCCCAGCUCUCGGGGUGCCCCGGGCAGAUCACUUUGGAUCUCUCUGAUUCCAGCCUGGCGUGUUCAGGAAGUUUUCCAUACUCCCUCCUCUCUCACCUGUGUUUCCAGGCCAUUGAUGAGGAGCCUGUUCUUCUCGGCCCCAAGCAGGAGAAGGAUCAAGAAUUAAAUUCUAAUUGAGGCUGCAGCAGAAAUUAACUCUUAGCCACAUCAAAGCCCCGAUUCUGAGGUCAUGGGACAGAUCAGAGCUGCGGAGAAUUUGGGUGACUGAGGUUCACCCACAUUUUUAGUGCUCUAAAAAAGUCACGUUACUCCUGGGUCCUUUAUAGCUGAAGGAGCAGCACAUUUUCAAACGAUCAG
rnacentral:lncRNA from 1 species